rfam:Felis catus isolate Cinnamon breed Abyssinian chromosome B2, whole genome shotgun sequence.
GCCUGGCUGGCUCAGUUGGUAGAGCGUGCGACUCUUGAUCUUGGGGUUCUGAGUUUGAGCCCCAGGCUGGGCA